GAUGAACGCUGGCGGCGUGCCUAAUACAUGCAAGUCGAGCGAACAGACGAGGAGCCUGCUCCUCUGACGUUAGCGGCGGACGGGUGAGUAACACGUGGAUAACCUACCUAUAAGACUGGGAUAACUUCGGGAAACCGGAGCUAAUACCGGAUAAUAUAUUGAACCGCAUGGUUCAAUAGUGAAAGACGGUUUUGCUGUCACUUAUAGAUGGAUCCGCGCCGCACUAGCUAGUUGGUAAGGUAACGGCUUACCAAGGCAACGAUGCGUAGCCGACCUGAGAGGGUGAUCGGCCACACUGGAACUGAGACACGGUCCAGACUCCUACGGGAGGCAGCAGUAGGGAAUCUUCCGCAAUGGGCGAAAGCCUGACGGAGCAACGCCGCGUGAGUGAUGAAGGUCUUCGGAUCGUAAAACUCUGUUAUUAGGGAAGAACAAAUGUGUAAGUAACUAUGCACGUCUUGACGGUACCUAAUCAGAAAGCCACGGCUAACUACGUG
rnacentral:rRNA from 1 species